rnacentral:rRNA from 1 species
CAGCCGCCGCGGGAAUACGAAGGGGGCUAGCGUUGCUCGGAAUGACUGGGCGUAAAGGGCGCGUAGGCGGCGGCCAAAGUCAGGCGUGAAAUUCCCGGGCUCAACCUGGGGGCUGCGUUUGAUACUUGGUUGCUUGAGUGGGGAAGAGGGUCGUGGAAUUCCCAGUGUAGAGGUGAAAUUCGUAGAUAGUGGGAAGAACACCGGUGGCGAAGGCGGCGACCUGGUCCUUUACUGACGCUGAGGCGCGAAAGCGUGGGGAGCAAACAGGAUUAGAUACCCCCGUAGUCCCUGUCUCUUAUAC